rnacentral:lncRNA from 1 species
GGGAACCAUAUCUGGCUAUCGUACCCAAAUUUUUCAACAAAGGUUUUAUGAUUACUCAUUCUAGUUUCAGGAAGAGCAAGAAGAGAAGACUUGUGCAUUCGAAUUAUUGACCCUGUUGAGGCCUUGAGGUUUGAUAAAAUCCCGUUCAUCUCUCUGUUGUUCUCCCUUAAGGCUUUCAUAGUCCUUGCUCUCUCUUCUAUCUCUAGAGAUAGUGGAUGUUGGGAUGAUGAUAGUGUUG